rnacentral:rRNA from 1 species
AGAGUUUGAUCCUGGCUCAGGAUGAACGCUAGCGACAGGCCUAACACAUGCAAGUCGAGGGGCAGCAUAAAGGUAGCAAUACUUUGGUGGCGACCGGCGCACGGGUGAGUAACACGUAUGCAACCUACCUGUAAGAGGGGAAUAACCCGGAGAAAUUCGGACUAAUACCGCAUAAUACCAAUUAACUGCAUGGUUGAUUGGUUAAAUAUUUAUAGCUUACAGAUGGGCAUGCGUAUGAUUAGCUAGUUGGUGAGGUAACGGCCCACCAAGGCAACGAUCAUUAGGGGUUCUGAGAGGAAGGUCCCCCACAUUGGAACUGAGACACGGUCCAAACUCCUACGGGAGGCAGCAGUGAGGAAUAUUGGUCAAUGGGCGAGAGCCUGAACCAGCCAAGUCGCGUGAAGGAAGAAGGUUCUAUGGAUUGUAAACUUCUUUUGUAAGGGAAUAAAAAAGGCCACGUGUGGCUUCUUGUAUGUACUUUACGAAUAAGGAUCGGCUAACUCCGUGCCAGCAGCCGCGGUAAUACGGAGGAUCCAAGCGUUAUCCGGAUUUAUUGGGUUUAAAGGGUGCGUAGGCGGACCAAUUAGUCAGUGGUGAAAGUUUGCAGCUCAACUGUAAAAUUGCCAUUGAAACUGUUGGUCUUGAGUGUAAAUGAGGUAGGCGGAAUGUGUUGUGUAGCGGUGAAAUGCUUAGAUAUAACACAGAACACCAAUUGCGAAGGCAGCUUACUAGGAUACAACUGACGCUGAGGCACGAAAGCGUGGGGAUCAAACAGGAUUAGAUACCCUGGUAGUCCACGCCGUAAACGAUGAUAACUCGCUGUUGGCGAUACACAGUCAGCGGCUUAGCGAAAGCGUUAAGUUAUCCACCUGGGGAGUACGCUCGCAAGAGUGAAACUCAAAGGAAUUGACGGGGGCCCGCACAAGCGGAGGAACAUGUGGUUUAA